rnacentral:rRNA from 1 species
UUCGUAGGCGGUGCGGUAAGUCGGAAGUGAAAUCUCUGGGCUUAACUCAGAGGCUGCUUUCGAAACUGCCGUGCUGGAGUGCGGGAGAGGCGAGUGGAAUUGCAGGUGUAGCGGUGAAAUGCGUAGAUAUCUGCAGGAACACCCGUGGCGAAGGCGGCUCGCUGGACCGCAACUGACGCUGAGGAACGAAAGCUAGGGGAGCAAACA